GUAUGCAAAUAGCUGUGCUCCCCUGCUGGAACCUCAAGACAAGCUCUCAAGCUCCAUUUGUAGGAAAAUGUAAGGGGACGUCAAGGGUCUCAGACUCCAGAAACAUCCAACUGAGUUGCUGCAUGUGCAGUCUGCCUUUCUU
rnacentral:snRNA from 1 species